rnacentral:rRNA from 1 species
CCUACGGGAGGCAGCAGUGAGGAAUAUUGGUCAAUGGACGAGAGUCUGAACCAGCCAAGUAGCGUGAAGGAUGACUGCCCUAUGGGUUGUAAACUUCUUUUAUAAAGGAAUAAAACGAGGCACGUGUGCCUUUUUGCAUGUACUUUAUGAAUAAGGAUCGGCUAACUCCGUGCCAGCAGCCGCGGGAAUACGGAGGAUCCGAGCGUUAUCCGGAUUUAUUGGGUUUAAAGGGAGCGUAGAUGGGUUGUUAAGUCAGUUGUGAAAGUUUGCGGCUCAACCGUACAAUUGCAAUUGAUACUGGCAGUCUUGAGUACAGUUGAGGUAGGCGGAAUUCGUGGUGUAGCGGUGAAAGGCUUAGAUAUCACGAAGAACCCCGAUUGCGAAGGCAGCUUACUAAACUGUGACUGACAUUGAUGCUCGAAAGUGUGGGUAUCAAACAGGAUUAGAUACCCCGGUAGUC